rnacentral:lncRNA from 1 species
AUCUUCAUCAGUUUUCAUAAGUCUUUUUCCUGGUUUAUAUUGGAUGGUCUAGAUAGCGUAAAGUGGAAUCUUACCUUUCUCAAACUCUAAAAUAAAGUUUCUUGGACGCUUUUAAGCCCUUUUUGGUAUUAAGAGUAAUCUUUGAUGAGAAAUUAUCAACAAAAAUGAAAAUACAAAAAACUAUCAAAAGAAGAGAAAUCAAUGGCAAAUGACAAAAUAA